CAGGCAACUGUAAGACUGACCCUUGGGAACACACUGGCCAUGAGAACAUCUGGAGAAAGAACAGAACAGAAGGAAAACAUGUUACAGGAGAGAAUUAUACUGGGGUUGAGCCCCACUGCGUCCAUGAGGACAAUCGCAAGUUACUCCCGUCUCUCCUCCUUCUCUGCAUGCACCCUGUGCACAAACACUGCACGAAUGACACCCCGCAAGAAUGCCAUCACCCUAGUGACAGAACAUAAAAUGAAGAAAUCACUGUAAGAAACGACAAGCAUGGAGCUGUCCUGCACCUCUGGAUCUAUAACUCAGGUCUUGAGGCUCCCCAUUGAUCUGGACAUUGUGGACGCAGCCACUAAAACCCUGAGGGGAUCGUUCAGGCCCUGGACGCA